CGUCACUCCCUUACAUGCCAGCUCUACUUUACCAUGUUAAUCCUACGAGGAUGCUGAGUGAGGUAUAAUAUUUGGGAAAUUAGGAAAGGUUUUAUCUAUUUCUUCGGUUUCAAAAGCACUUAUUCCAAUACCAGAACCCUGAAUUUUUUUGUUCACAUUUGCAAUCACUUCAGUGGGCGUGAUGGCUCAGAUUCUCAAAAGAUGAGAAGCAGGAGAAAAUUGGACCAGAAAUAUAAGGACAUUUUUCCAUGACUUUUCCAGGUCUGAAAAAAAUUCGUUAUUUUUUUUUCAGUGAAUUUCCAGGGUUUCCAAGACCCGAACUAUGGUCAUCAAACGUCAUUAGCCUAGCAUUAGCCAAGCAAUACGUUUUUCAUAUGAACUGAUAUUUGCUUACAGCUUAAGGUGUUUGUAUUGAUUGUUGGA